rnacentral:rRNA from 1 species
AUUGAACGCUGGCGGCAUGCUUUACACAUGCAAGUCGAACGGCAGCGCGGGCUUCGGCCUGGCGGCGAGUGGCGAACGGGUGAGUAAUGCAUCGGAACGUGCCCAGUAGUGGGGGAUAGCCCGGCGAAAGCCGGAUUAAUACCGCAUACGACCUGAGGGUGAAACCGGGGGACCGAAAGGCCUCGCGCUAUUGGACCGGCCGAUGUCGGAUUAGCUAGUUGGUGGGGUAAAGGCUUACCAAGGCGACGAUCCGUAGCUGGUCUGAGAGGACGACCAGCCACACUGGGACUGAGACACGGCCCAGACUCCUACGGGAGGCAGCAGUGGGGAAUUUUGGACAAUGGGGGCAACCCUGAUCCAGCCAUGCCGCGUGCGGGAAGAAGGCCUUCGGGUUGUAAACCGCUUUUGUUCGGGAAGAAAUCCUCUGGGCUAAUACCCCGGGGGGAUGACGGUACCGGAAGAAUAAGCACCGGCUAACUACGUG